CCAUAUCUCCAUUUACGAUCACCGAUGAUUUGGCAGUGUAAAACAAAUCAGCAAUCCACUUACACCAUCGUUGCCCAAAUCCUUGAGCAUGAAGAAGACUUGAGAGGAAUGACCAAUCCACAUUGUCGAAGGCCUUUUCAAAGUCUACCUUGUAUAGUGUUGCGGCCAAUCCCCUCGUCGUCUGAUCGUCGGGAACAAGCACCUGUAAAAGAAAGUCCGCACUGACCGGAGGUGGCUCCGGCGGGGACCCUCCGACGGUCAAGUCAGAGAGGAGACUAGGCAACAGUGAAAAGAAAACAAGGAGCUCAACG
rnacentral:lncRNA from 1 species